GUCGAACGGUGAACACGGAGCUUGCUCUGUGGGAUCAGUGGCGAACCGUUGAGUAACACGUGAGCAACCUGCCCCUGACUCUGGGAUAAGCGCUGGAAACGGCGUCUAAUACUGGAUACGAACCACGAAGGCAUCUUCAGUGGUUGGAAAGAAUUUCGGUUGGGGAUGGGCUCGCGGCCUAUCAGCUUGUUGGUGAGGUAAUGGCUCACCAAGGCGUCGACGGGUAGCCGGCCUGAGAGGGUGACCGGCCACACUGGGACUGAGACACGGCCCAGACUCCUACGGGAGGCAGCAGUGGGGAAUAUUGCACAAUGGGCGCAAGCCUGAUGCAGCAACGCCGCGUGAGGGAUGACGGCCUUCGGGUUGUAAACCUCUUUUAGCAGGGAAGAAGCGAAAGUGACGGUACCUGCAGAAAAAGCGCCGGCUAACUACGUGCCAGCAGCCGCGGUAAUACGUAGGGCGCAAGCGUUAUCCGGAAUUAUUGGGCGUAAAGAGCUCGUAGGCGGUUUGUCGCGUCUGCUGUGAAAUCCGGAGGCUCAACCUCCGGCCUGCAGUGGGUACGGGCAGACUAGAGUGCGGUAGGGGAGAUUGGAAUUCCUGGUGUAGCGGUGGAAUGCGCAGAUAUCAGGAGGAACACCGAUGGCGAAGGCAGAUCUCUGGGCCGUAACUGACGCUGAGGAGCGAAAGGGUGGGGAGCAAACAGGCUUAGAUACCCUGGUAGUCCACCCCGUAAACGUUGGGAACUAGUUGUGGGGUCCAUUCCACGGAUUCCGUGACGCAGCUAACGCAUUAAGUUCCCCGCCUGGGGAGUACGGCCGCAAGGCUAAAACUCAAAGGAAUUGACGGGGACCCGCACAAGCGGCGGAGCAUGCGGAUUAAUUCGAUGCAACGCGAAGAACCUUACCAAGGCUUGACAUAUACGAGAACGGGCCAGAAAUGGUCAACUCUUUGGACACUCGUAAACAGGUGGUGCAUGGUUGUCGUCAGCUCGUGUCGUGAGAUGUUGGGUUAAGUCCCGCAACGAGCGCAACCCUCGUUCUAUGUUGCCAGCACGUAAUGGUGGGAACUCAUGGGAUACUGCCGGGGUCAACUCGGAGGAAGGUGGGGAUGACGUCAAAUCAUCAUGCCCCUUAUGUCUUGGGCUUCACGCAUGCUACAAUGGCCGGUACAAAGGGCUGCAAUACCGCGAGGUGGAGCGAAUCCCAAAAAGCCGGUCCCAGUUCGGAUUGAGGUCUGCAACUCGACCUCAUGAAGUCGGAGUCGCUAGUAAUCGCAGAUCAGCAACGCUGCGGUGAAUACGUUCCCGGGUCUUGUACACACCGCCCGUCA
rnacentral:rRNA from 1 species